AAAUGCCCUUUUUUUUUGGCCGGAUUGGGAUAGGAGGUUGGAAGACUGGUAGAAGGAAAAAUUGAUUCAUAAAUUAAACCACCAGAGUGUCAGAAGAUGCUAACACCUUUGUAUGAAAGCUUCAAAUCAUGUGGAAUAGAGUAAGCGAAGCUACCUAUUAAAUUGCUUUAACUCGUUUUAUGCUUUUAUUGUAUAUGAAAAACCAGUUCCUGUACUUCUGUUGUAGGCUUGUAUCAGGCUAUCCUACUUGCUUUCGAUAAAUGAACAUUUUAAAUUAUCCAAAACAAUAUAUAUAUAUAUAUAUAUAUAUAUAUAUAUAUAUAUAUACAUAUAAAUUGAUGGGAUGGCGGGACUAUUUGAUAAGCGUAGGGCAACCUUAAAAUUUGUUUGAUCUUUGGCUUUCAAAAUUUUUAAAGCAUGAAAAAUUACGAGUCAACAGGAUACAACUAGAUUCUUCUGGUGGAAGAUGAAGCCAAAGGAAGGAAUUGAGUGGUGGUUUGCAGAAAUUUCCAGAAUGCUAAAGUUCUUCAACAGGAUACAAUUAGAUUCUUCUCAAGUUUGGUGACUCCCUUUCCCAGUUCUAACCUUGGUGCCCUACUGCUGGAUGUUGAACUCUUUUUUGUUUAAGAACAUGACUUUAUAUUCAACAGUUUUCAUCAAAGAUUAAAGCCCAAAAAGCCCACCAUAGACCCAUUUUAGAUACGGGAUCCCUCGGCUUUCGACGCUGCCUGCAAGAGAUAACUUUGACCGAUGACAGCAAAAGUAAAUAAGCUGACCGAGGGCGACAUACACAAUCACAACAAACUUCCAUCUUACGAAAGCUUUCCCCGGCGCCUGCUGAAUAUAUACUGAAUCAGCGAGUGCCUUCCCCAAUCCCCGAGGGCCAGAGCAAAAAGGACAAACCCAUUUGAUUCUCCUUAGCAUUAGUCGGAGUAAAUCCUCCUAAUCCUUUCUUUCCCUAUCUCUUCCAAAAAGCCCAAAAAUAGGGUUUCGAAAACCUUAACUCUACCAUAGCCCCCAAAUCCGACCUCUUUUUCGUCGCUUUCUCCUUCAGACAGAUUAGGGAUUUUAAUUAAAAAUAUAUUUACAAAUCUCCUGUUCUUGUUUUUGUUCCUGAUUUCCAGCUACAAUGGCGGAGCACUUGGCCUCAAUCUUCGGUACGGAGAAGGACCGUGUUAAUUGUCCCUUCUAUUUCAAGAUUGGAGCAUGCCGGCAUGGGGAUAGGUGCUCACGGCUCCACAACCGGCCGACGAUCUCCCCAACCCUCUUGCUGUCGAACAUGUACCAGCGCCCGGAUAUGAUCACCCCUGGAGUGGAUGCCCAGGGCCAGCCCAUCGACCCCCGUAGGAUCCAGGAGCACUUCGAGGACUUCUACGAGGACAUCUUCGAGGAGCUAGGCAAGUUCGGUGAAAUCGAGAGCCUCAACGUCUGUGACAACCUUGCCGACCACAUGAUCGGAAACGUGUAUGUUCAGUUCAGGGAGGAGGACCAGGCAGCUGCCGCCCUCCAGGCACUUCAAGGAAGGUUCUACUCCGGUCGGCCUAUCAUUGCGGAUUUUUCCCCAGUCACUGAUUUCCGCGAAGCCACUUGUCGGCAAUUCGAGGAGAAUAACUGUAACCGUGGGGGUUACUGUAAUUUUAUGCAUGUCAAGGUAAUUGGGAGGGAGUUGAGAAGGAAGUUGUUUGGGAGGUACCGCAGGUUUAAAAGGAGUCGGAGUAGGAGCAGGAGCGCCAGUCCACGCCACAAGCGUGAUAGGGAGUUUAGGGACCGCGAUCGCGACCGUGACCGUGAUGAUCAUCGUGAUAGGAAUGGGCGAAGACCUGACAGGUCUGACCGUGACAGCGGUGGUAGGAGAAAGCAUGGGAGUCCUAGGCGAAGCAGAAGCCCUCCACCUGCGAGGGAAGGGAGUGAGGAGCGGAGAGCCAGGAUUGAACAAUGGAAUCGAGAGAGGGAAGAGAAGGUGUAAGAAAAGCUUAUUCGGUUAUGGUCUAUAUUUUCAUUUUUUCCCUUUUGGUAAUUAUUUCUAUUUCUAGGUUCAGAUCAUGUUUUUGUUAUGUUGCUGCAACUUGGAUUGAACGUAAGUCUUCACUUUGAGGGAUGAGUGGUACCAUUUUUAGCUGUUACAAUGAUCAUUUUCUCAUAGUGUCAGUUUUAAAGGGAGUACUUGUAUCUCUGUUGAAUAGUUUCCUUUACUUUUAGUCCAUGGUUAAAGCUUCAAGCUACUUUCUUCUCACCUUUAUCUCGGAUUACUAAGUUUGUAGGUCUGCUCUCAGCUCCUUGAUUUUUGUCAGAAUUACAGCCAGGUUAGUUAUCAAAUCAGACAUUCCAUUUCCCCUCUAGUUAGACAAAUGCAUUUCAG